AUACGGAGGAUGCGAGCGUUAUCCGGAUUUAUUGGGUUUAAAGGGUGCGUAGGCUGUGCGUUAAGUCAGGGGUGAAAUGCCGUCGCUCAACGACGGAGCUGCCCUUGAUACUGGCGUGCUGGAGUACGGAUGCCGUUGGAGGAAUGAGUGGUGUAGCGGUGAAAUGCUUAGAUAUCACUCAGAACACCGAUUGCGAAGGCAUCUGACGAAUCCGUCACUGACGCUGAGGCACGAAAGCGUGGGGAUAGAACAGGAUUGGAUACCCUGGUAUUCCACGCCGUAAACGAUGAUGACUAACCGUCGGCGAUAGACAGCCGGUGGCCAAGCGAAAGCGAUAAGUCAUCCACCUGGGGAGUACGUCGGCAACGAUGAAACUCAAAUGAAUUGACGGGG
rnacentral:rRNA from 1 species